GGACCCGCACAAGCGGUGGAGCAUGUGGUUUAAUUCGAUGCAACGCGAAGAACCUUACCUGCCCUUGACAUACUCGGAACUUGUCAGAGAUGACUUGGUGCCUUCGGGAAUCGAGAUACAGGUGCUGCAUGGCUGUCGUCAGCUCGUGCCGUGAGGUGUCAGGUUAAGUCCUAUAACGAGCGCAACCCCUAUCGUUAGUUGCCAGCGGGUCAUGCCGGGAACUCUAGCGAAACUGCCGGUGCAAACCGUGAGGAAGGUGGGGAUGACGUCAAAUCAUCACGGCCCUUACGUCCUGGGCUACACACGUGCUACAAUGGCCGGUACAGAGAGCAGCCACUACGCGAGUAGGAGCGAAUCUAUAAAACCGGUCUCAGUUCGGAUCGCAGUCUGCAACUCGACUGCGUGAAGCUGGAAUC
rnacentral:rRNA from 1 species